UUUGUGUAUUUAUAAAGAAUUUGCGAUGCACCGUAGUAAAGUAGAGUCAUUCAAGUGAUAUCAUUAACGCUGAAAUGAUGCAUUUUAUACAAAUUUCUUUAAUAUUUCUAAAUACUUUUGCUAUUUCCGUGAGUGGCUCUGACUCUGCUGAAAACGAAAAUGCGGAAAUGUAUAAUCCCUUUAUACAAAUCGGUAGCAAGUACUACUUUAUAAAUGAAUCGUUGAAGAUGAACUGGUUUGCCGCUUCUGAUUAUUGUCGCUCUCAUGGCGGUGAUUUGGCGACUAUUGAAUCGCGUGAAGAGUUACUGGCACUGCAAGAAUACAUUUCACCUAAAGGGGGUAUGGUACAACGAUUUUGGAUUGAUGGCAAUGAUUUGGCAAAUGAAGGAGUCUUUGUGUCGCACACCACUGGACUACCUUUAACCUACACCAACUGGUAUGAAAAUAAUCCAAGUGAUACAAAUGAUGAAGAUUGCGUUGAAGCUUUCAUACAAUUAGGUGGCACAAAACUUCUAAUGAACGACAAUAAAUGUGAAACGAAUUUCCAUGCGAUUUGUCAGUAUCGUGCACCUACCAUGCAAAAGAGCAGGGAAAUUUGUGUGCCCUUGGAUAAAAACGAGCACUGUAUGCUGCGAGACUUAGCUGAGGCAUUAACACAGGCAGCCGAUAUGUUUAAAUCAUGUUCGCAACCCGUGCGGUGUUCAACAUCACCGCGAAGGAGCGUGACUUAUAACAAUUUCCAAUUAAAUAAUUAAAUAAAUGAGCGCCAGAGCGGAUAAUAUGUUCAUCCAAAGUAUGCCAAUUGAUAAACAAUACAAAAUAAAGAUAAAGAUCAACGAUUAGUUCAACGAGUUUAAAACAUCUUAACUGCUCGAGCUUCUUCAGACGAAAACUUAUAAAGAGCUAUAGCUAAGCCAUAUAUAAAGCUAUAAAAGUAAAGUUUAGUACAAAUGAUGGCACACUUCGCCCCUAC